UCGUUGAAAUACCACUCUGGUCACUCUGGAUAUCUAACUUCGGCCCGUGAUCCGGGUCAGGGACAGUGCCUGAUGGGUAGUUUAACUGGGGCGGUUGCCUCCCAAAAUGUAACGGAGGCGCCCAAAGGUUCCCUCAGCCUGGUUGGCAAUCAGGUGUCGAGUGCAAGUGCACAAGGGAGCUUGACUGUGAGAGUGGCAGCUCGAGCAGGGACGAAAGUCGGGACUAGUGAUCCGGCGGCUCGUUGUGGAACGGCCGUCGCUCAACGGAUAAAAGGUACCUCGGGGAUAACAGGCUGAUCUUGCCCAAGAGUCCAUAUCGACGGCAUGGUUUGGCACCUCGAUGUCGGCUCGUCGCAUCCUGGGGCUGGAGUAGGUCCCAAGGGUUGGGCUGUUCGCCCAUUAAAGCGGUACGCGAGCUGGGUUCAGAACGUCGUGAGACAGUUCGGUCCCUAUCCUCUGCGCGCGUUGGAAAUUUGAGAAGGUCUGUCCUUAGUACGAGAGGACCGGGACGGACGAACCUCUGGUAUGUCAGUUGUACCGCCAGGUGCAUGGCUGAUUAGCUACGUUCGGGAUGGAUAACCGCUGAAAGCAUCUAAGCGGGAAGCCGGCUUCGAGAUGAGAUUUCCUUGCCCCUUUGAGGGUGUGAGGCCCCCAGCUAGAACACUGGGUUGAUAGGCUGGAUGUGGAAGCGAGGACUGAAGACUCGUGAAGCUGACCAGUACUAAUAGGCCGAUGACUUACACAC
rnacentral:rRNA from 1 species